GUAGGGAAUCUUCCACAAUGGACGAAAGUCUGAUGGAGCAACGCCGCGUGAGUGAAGAAGGUUCUCGGAUCGUAAAACUCUGUUGUGAGGGAAGAACAAGUACCGGAGUAACUGCCGGUACCUUGACGGUACCUUAUUAGAAAGCAACGGCUAACUACGUGCCAGCAGCCGCGGUAAUACGUAGGUGGCAAGCGUUGUCCGGAAUCAUUUGUCGUAAAGCGCGCGCAGGCGGUCCCUUAAGUCUGAUGUGAAAGCCCACGGCUCAACCGUGGAGGGUCAUUGGAAACGGGGGGACUUGAGUGCAGAAGAGGAAAGCGGAAUUCCAAGUGUAGCGGUGAAAUGCGUAGAGAUUUGGAGGAACACCAGUGGCGAAGGCGGCUUUCUGGUCUGUAACUGACGCUGAGGCGCGAAAGCGUGGGGAGCAAACAGGAUUAGAUACCCCAGUAGUCC
rnacentral:rRNA from 1 species